GUUGAUCAAAAGAACUGCUGCUAUUUGAGAUUUGAGCUGAGAAGGUAUCCUCCAGAUUGGGCAGAGACUCAGCCAGUGUCCUGACCCCUUUCCAAGAGGUAUCAGCUGCCGGUACCUAUUGCUUCAAUCGAUGAGACCACCGAGGAAAGCCCAGGAGAGACCACGCUCAGUGAAAAGACGCCCCCGCAGGUGUUUUUAACCCCUGGACCUGCUCUGGAGCUUGUGGGACUGUUGGGUCAGCUACAUGAAGACUGAGGCUCUGAGUGUCACUGCAGAUGGCCGGCCACCCCAGGGAGUCGAUGUUCCGGGGUCGGAGUGUUUGGCCCCGUCGACACAGCUAUGACCUUUCCCAAAGGCUGCAUGGUGAACGAGCAUGGACGUGCGCUCCUAUGCAGGAAGAAGGAAAACCUGGCAUCCUGAUUGUCUGAGUGAUUGAACCCGGACCACAGGGCACUUUACCACAGAAAUGGAAAGAGUCUGUCCCUUACACCCCAACCAGUGGAGAAUGUCCUGUGUCAAAAUCAGGUUCCCCAGCCAACCACACUUGACCACUAGCAGGUUCUAGAAUAGGCCAUGGCAAGUGUGUGUAGCCAGAACACUUGAGAAGCAAGGGAGAGAAGAUGGGUCUUGGGCCUUGCUGAGCUGAUGUCACUUCUACUUGAGUUUGGGGGCCUAGUCUGUGUGGUUGGAAGGGCUUUUCAGGAAGGUCAGUUUUCUCCCUGUGAUGGCAGCUGCCAGGGCUGCGGGAGCCUGCCCUCUGACACAGCCAGCUGGGGUUGUGGGUAUUGCGGGCCUUGCUCUCGGGCAGCCUGUGGCACGUUGAUGAGCCUCUUGGUCCUCAUGUGGUUCUGAGAGCUCGCUGGACCAGGAGCUGUAAAUCCAGAUCUCUCAUUAUUCACUCAGACAUGGUAUUUUUUCAUACCUACAAAAUGAGAAUGUUGGGCUUUCAUGAUAAUAGGAAUUGAAAAAUGAUGGUAAAAUACAAAGAAAAAAUUCAUGCUGUUUAAAUACAAUGCUUACUGAGUUUUAUUUUGAGAUUCAUGUUAUGUGUCAUAACAGCUCACAAAUAGUCUGGGAGAUUUUAAUACAGCGCCUUCUCUUCAUACUCAAAUCUUGAAAGAAGAUGACCCCCUACAGCUAAUUUGUCUCAAAAUUAGCUUGAUUGAUUAGUGGCCUACCCUGUGCAGGCCUCUUCUUAGCAUCGUAAUGGGGGUGAACGGGCACCGUUUGUGGACACAAUAGGCUCCUUUCCCGAGUCGUUCCAAAGUGAACAACAUGGCAGAUGUGCACAGGAGCCCAGGCAGCAGCUCUCAGCCUGCCGUCACGACCACCGCCUCUGCACUGGCUGCAGCAGAGGGAGGCCCAGUUUAGCAUCUGAGCGUCCAUUCCCUUCAGUCCACUGAGAGGCCCACCUCGAAGCCCAGGAGUGCCUGCCAGGCCCUGCGCUCUGCUCCAGCCGUUCUCUCCAGGAGAGGUCUGUCUGCUCCCCUGGGGGGCAACUCAGAGGGACCAGGGGAAGAAAUGUUCUCCAUAGCUGCCCAAGAGGUCAGUUUAAGUGGGAAACACCAUGGAGGUGCUCCGGUGGCCAGCGGAGUGGAGAGCCCCAGGCCUGACUCCACCCUCCCUGCAGGCCUCAGGAAUGUGCUGGGAAGAGCUGCAGGUUUGGAAGUCCUAUCCUUUGAAAUGUUUAGCCAAACAGGAACCUGGGAAGGAAGCUUUGGAUUGUUAGGAACAUCCUGACUUGCUCUGCCCUUUGUGUUUGGCCCCUCCUGAUCCCACAUCCUUCAUAAGGUGCCGCAGGGCCUCCUUCCUGCAGGAGAGGAAGCCAGGGCUGUGGCCCCUAGGGAGGGCUUGAAGACCACAUUCUCUCCCUCUCUCCAGGGCACUCCAUGCAGCUUGGCUCCGAGAACCACUGGGCAGCAAAGGAUGUGGGUGGAGGGCGGGAGGAGGUGUGUAAUCGGCUUGGCCAAGUGAUCCCCAUCAUCUCCUCCUCCCUCUCUAACCCUGGGCUCUUCCCCAGCUGCCCUGAGCCACUAGGGGCAGAACACAGAGUCCAGGCCCCCUUGCAGGACCCCCAUGCCCAGCUCUGCUCUUUACUGUGCACGAAGGACAGGAGUGCAGG